rnacentral:rRNA from 2 species
AACCGCAUAGAGCCAAACGGGUGGAUCCGCAGAGUCGACCCGGGGAAUUCAGCCCGGCCGCCAGCGGCGCUCGCAAAGUUCGGAUCCGCAAGGACCGGGCCAGCGGGACGUCCCAGUGGCAGGGUGCACUUUCUCCGCGGUCGAGUGCUACGACCGGUUUCGAGGCGGUCAGAAGCCCGGCGGAAAGGUAGCGCCGCCCUUCGGGGUGUCGUGUUAUAGGCCGCCGCGGUGGACUCGCCGCGAGACCGAGGACGCUUGCCGCGCCGAGCGGUCCCGGGCCGUCUUGGGAGGUUCGACCUCGGCUGCACUGCUCCGCAGAGCACCGUAACCGCCGCCCUAGCACGGGUCCGGAGACUGCCGGCGCCUCGGGUCAGUAGCGAAU